rnacentral:lncRNA from 1 species
UUAAAUCAAAACAGCCUGGCAAACAAGUUGGCAUAAAGCAAAGAUAUUUGAAAAGAUGGCAUGAAAGGGAACCGUAGCUGAGCAAGAAAAAAUCCCAUUUCAAAGCUUUGUUAACAUAACAAAAAAAAAUAUUUCAUCCAAAAAACAAACAUUCACACAACUAAAACAAAACUCCAUCUUUCUAGUUUUAAAUUUUAACUUCCAAUCUAAGCAGCAAACAUGAAGAUAAUAAGAAGAUACAUGCCUUUUCAGAUACCGAUGAAGACAGAGACGGUGGUUCGCGGUGGAAGUUGAAACGGCGGUGAUGUUUUCUGUUUCUUCUUCUUCUCUUUUUUUUUAUGUGUUUUUUAUAGUAUUAAUCUCUGAUUUCUCCCCCUCCAAAUGUCUCUCUUCUUUGUAAAAAAAAGAUGUAUUUAUAGAGUUUUUUUAUCUGAUUAGUUGCUUUCUUGGCUGUGUCUUUGUUUGAGUUUGAGCUUUCUAGUUCUUUGUUUGAUGUUUCGUUUUCUUUGCUCAUCAUCUGCAUUUUUCUGCAUCUCUGAUGCCUUCAUAGUUUUAGCUUAUUUGUUUUGAUCUGUUGAUUUGCUGAGCUUUUAUUUGUCUUUUAGUUUCUUUUUUUUUAAACUCAAAAAUUUGUCUCUUUGUUAACUAUAAUGUGUACAAUGGCAGAUUUAAAAAAGUUAUCUUUUUAUUUCUCUAUUUAGUUAAAACAGGAACAGAUGUAUCAAUAAGCAUGGCUUGUGCAUCAAUGGCAGUCAGCAUCAACAUAGCAGGGUUUGACAGUGAACAAAGUCAACAUAGCAUGGCUUGAUCUGAUUUAAUUUUUAUUGUAAUUUAUUUUUGGCUUUAUUCUUAGUUUGUAAUUUGAUUUGGUUUUAAAAACUCUAAUUAGAUGAAAUUGUAAAUUUAUGAUACAUAAUAAAAAUAUUUAUUGUAAUUA